rnacentral:rRNA from 1 species
GCAUUUGCAACCUGAGCUCAGACGUGAUUACCCGCUGAACUUAAGCAUAUCAUUUAGCGGAGGAAAAGAAACUAACUAAGAUUCCCUUAAUAACGGCAAAGUGAGAAAGAAA